GACGAACGCUGGCGGCGUGCUUAACACAUGCGAGUCGAACGGAAAGGCCCUGCUUUUGUGGGGUGCUCGAGUGGCGAACGGGUGAGUAACACGUGAGUAACCUGCCCUUGACUUUGGGAUAACUUCAGGAAACUGGGGCUAAUACCGGAUAGGAGCUCCUGCUGCAUGGUGGGGGUUGGAAAGUUUCGGCGGUUGGGGAUGGACUCGCGGCUUAUCAGCUUGUUGGUGGGGUAGUGGCUUACCAAGGCUUUGACGGGUAGCCGGCCUGAGAGGGUGACCGGCCACAUUGGGACUGAGAUACGGCCCAGACUCCUACGGGAGGCAGCAGUGGGGAAUAUUGCACAAUGGGCGGAAGCCUGAUGCAGCAACGCCGCGUGGGGGAUGACGGCCUUCGGGUUGUAAACCGCUUUCGCCUGUGGCGAAGCGUGAGUGGCGGUAAUGGGUAAAGAAGCACCGGCUAAAUACGUU
rnacentral:rRNA from 1 species